rnacentral:rRNA from 1 species
AACCUCCGCAAUGUGAGAAAUCGCGACGGGGGGAUCCCAAGUGCCAUUCCUAACGGGAUGGCUUUUCAUUAGUGUAAAGAGCUUUUGGAAUAAGGGCUGGGCAAGACCGGUGCCAGCCGCCGCGGUAACACCGGCAGCUCUAGUGGUAGCAGUUUUUAUUGGGCCUAAAGCGUCCGUAGCCGGUUUAAUAAGUCUCUGGUGAAAUCCUGUAGCUUAACUGUGGGAAUUGCUGGAGAUACUAUUAGACUUGAGGCCGGGAGAGGUUAGAGGUACUCCCAGGGUAGAGGUGAAAUUCUGUAAUCCUGGGAGGACCGCCUGUUGCGAAGGCGUCUAACUGGAACGGUUCUGACGGUGAGGGACGAAAGUUAGGGGCGCGAACCGGAUUAGAUACCCGGGUAGUCCUAACUGUAAACGAUGCGGACUUGGUGUUGGGGUGGCUUUGAGUUGCUCCAGUGCCGAAGGGAAGCUGUUAAGUCCGCCGCCUGGGAAGUACGGUCGCAAGACUGAAACUUAAAGGAAUU